rnacentral:rRNA from 1 species
AUUGAACGCUGGCGGCAGGCCUAACACAUGCAAGUCGAGCGGGGUUUUCGGACCUAGCGGCGGACGGGUGAGUAAUGCGUAGGAAGCUGCCCGAUAGAGGGGGAUACCAGUUGGAAACGACUGUUAAUACCGCAUAAUGUCUACGGACCAAAGUGUGGGACCUUCGGGCCACAUGCUAUCGGAUGCGCCUACGUGGGAUUAGCUAGUUGGUGAGGUAAUGGCUCACCAAGGCGACGAUCUCUAGCUGGUUUGAGAGGAUGAUCAGCCACACCGGAACUGAGACGCGGUCCAGACUCCUACGGGAGGCAGCAGUGGGGAAUAUUGUACAAUGGGCGCAAGGCUGAUCCAGCCAUGCCGCGUGUGUGAAGAAGGCCUUCGGGUUGUAAAGCACUUUCAGCGAGGAGGAAGGGGUUGUAGUUAAUAGCUGCAACCUUUGACGUUACUCGCAGAAGAAGCACCGGCUAACUCUGUGCCAGCCGCCGCCGUAACAC